AGAGUUUGAUCCUGGCUCAGGACGAACGCUGGCGGCGUGCCUAAUACAUGCAAGUAGAACGCUGAAGAGAGGAGCUUGCUCUUCUUGGAUGAGUUGCGAACGGGUGAGUAACGCGUAGGUAACCUGCCUUGUAGCGGGGGAUAACUAUUGGAAACGAUAGCUAAUACCGCAUAACAAUGGAUGACACAUGUCAUUUAUUUGAAAGGGGCAAUUGCUCCACUACAAGAUGGACCUGCGUUGUAUUAGCUAGUAGGUGAGGUAAUGGCUCACCUAGGCGACGAUACAUAGCCGACCUGAGAGGGUGAUCGGCCACACUGGGACUGAGACACGGCCCAGACUCCUACGGGAGGCAGCAGUAGGGAAUCUUCGGCAAUGGGGGCAACCCUGACCGAGCAACGCCGCGUGAGUGAAGAAGGUUUUCGGAUCGUAAAGCUCUGUUGUAAGUCAAGAACGGGUGUGAGAGUGGAAAGUUCACACUGUGACGGUAGCUUACCAGAAAGGGACGGCUAACUACGUGCCAGCAGCCGCGGUAAUACGUAGGUCCCGAGCGUUGUCCGGAUUUAUUGGGCGUAAAGCGAGCGCAGGCGGUUUGAUAAGUCUGAAGUUAAAGGCUGUGGCUCAACCAUAGUUCGCUUUGGAAACUGUCAAACUUGAGUGCAGAAGGGGAGAGUGGAAUUCCAUGUGUAGCGGUGAAAUGCGUAGAUAUAUGGAGGAACACCGGUGGCGAAAGCGGCUCUCUGGUCUGUAACUGACGCUGAGGCUCGAAAGCGUGGGGAGCGAACAGGAUUAGAUACCCUGGUAGUCCACGCCGUAAACGAUGAGUGCUAGGUGUUGGAUCCUUUCCGGGAUUCAGUGCCGCAGCUAACGCAUUAAGCACUCCGCCUGGGGAGUACGACCGCAAGGUUGAAACUCAA
rnacentral:rRNA from 1 species